CUGGCUCAGGAUGAAACGCUAGCUACAGGCUUAACACAUGCAAGUCGAGGGGCAGCAUUGGAGUAGCAAUACUUCAGAUGGCGACCGGCGCACGGGUGAGUAACACGUAUCCAACCUGCCGCUUACUCGGGGAUAGCCUUUCGAAAGAAAGAUUAAUACCCGAUGGUAUAAAGAGUUCGCAUGUUCUCUUUAUUAAAGAAUUUCGGUAAGCGAUGGGGAUGCGUUCCAUUAGAUAGUUGGCGGGGUAACGGCCCACCAAGUCUACGAUGGAUAGGGGUUCUGAGAGGAAGGUCCCCCACAUUGGAACUGAGACACGGUCCAAACUCCUACGGGAGGCAGCAGUGAGGAAUAUUGGUCAAUGGACGAGAGUCUGAACCAGCCAAAAGUAGCGUGAAGGAUGACUGCCCUAUGGGUUGUAAACUUCUUUUAUAAGGGAAUAAAGUGAGGGACGUGUCCCUUUUUGUAUGUACCUUAUGAAUAAGGAUCGGCUAACUCCGUGCCAGCCGCCGC
rnacentral:rRNA from 1 species